rnacentral:rRNA from 1 species
UACGAAGGGGACUAGCGUUGUUCGGAAUCACUGGGCGUAAAGCGCACGUAGGCGGAUAUGUCAGUCAGGGGUGAAGUCCCGGGGCUCAACCUCGGAACUGCCUUUGAUACAGCAUGUCUUGAGUCCGAUAGAGGUGGGUGGAAUUCCUAGUGUAGAGGUGAAAUUCGUAGAUAUUAGGAAGAACACCGGUGGCGAAGGCGGCCCACUGGAUCGGUACUGACGCUGAGGUGCGAAAGCGUGGGGAGCAAACAGG